CAUGAGCAGCCACAGUCUCCUCUUACCUUGCUCCAAGGACGUGGUGUUUCUUUUCAACCUCUGAUUGCAGGAGUCUCCAGUGGUAUCCCUGCUAGCUGCUGCGUGUCUGUAUUGUCUACAUUGCUCAACAGUGUCUCUCUUCUUCCUAGAGAAUUUCCAGUGCAAACUUCUUCCGAAUUCUCCCCCAGGAAUGCAGUUACUCCACUUUUUUUCUUUAUGUUCCUGUGGUCAAAAUCAGCAUGUCUUUUCCCUAUUCAGCCACCUUGGAUCAACUCUGAUAAAACUCUUUACAUGUUCUUCAAACUAAUUAAAUUUGGGAUUCUCAACACUUUCUGCAUCAACAAAAUAAGAAUACUUGCUCUCUUUCAUCUCUGCACUUGGGCUGAAGAAACAGUCCAGAUGUAAAAAAGACGUGGCUAGUCUUUUGGCAGAGGGAAUAACAAGCAGUUGAAGACCCACAUAAUGGCCCUGAAGCCUCAGUUGGAUGUGGAACAUAUCACUGCCUCUCAUUGUUCUCUGUCCCUAAUAAGUCCUGCAAUGAGCCUGUGGAUGGGGUGAGACAUGCCUGCAAUACUCUCGUGGGGAGGGACUUUACGUAGGAGCACCUGCAGCAAGGGGUUUUUAUUUUUGGUGUGUGUUUGUUUUUGUCAUAUGAGUCUUGAGCUUUCCAAGGAACAGACUCACUGAGUGGUUGAUUUGAUAUUGUUUUACGUCAAAGAGUUAAUAUCAUGAACCUCAAAUUUUAUUCCUGGAUUGUUGCCAUUGAAUGAGGAGUGGCAGGGUAUUGAGUUGUGCAAACAGAAGACUAUGUAGCAACCACUCACAAUGAGCAAUAAGGGUGAGAUGAGGUUACAGACAAGAUUCAAACUUAAUAAAAUCCAAACACAGCAAAGUCCA
ensembl:lncRNA